UUUAACUCUAAAGAAUAUGUUCACCAAAUUUUAUUAAAUUCUUAUCAUUUUGAAAUUUUUUAUGUAUUUUACAUGGUUUAGCAUGGCAACAUUGUAUCGUCCCUAGCCACCCUCCUUAAAACAGUAAUAAAUCUCAAUUGUAACGAUACCCUAUUGGUUAUAAUCAAUCUGAUUCCUCAAUGUCACUGUACCACGAAAUUAAUAGAAUUUUUACAUGUAACAUUAUCCAUUUCUCAGAAGGGGUAAGCGACGUUUGUCAUAAAAUACUACUACACCCCGAAUGGAGCAUUGUUGCUAUACCGGAUAAGUGCUAUGGCCAGCAAGGGGUAUGCAGUGAGUACAUGAAACCAGGUGAAACCAAGAAUGGCCUGACGAAUCCAGACCAUACGUUUAUACAACGCCCUUGCAGCUACGAACAACAUUUUUACCACUGCAUGAUCGAAGAAAAUGUUACCGGAAACGUUUCGCUUACUACAGCGGAGUACAAAUUCCGAACAAAUUCUAAGCCCACUGCGUUUGGAGAUUUUCCAAAGGAAUAACCCAGAAAAAUAAUAGGACGUCUGAAAAUUGAUCCACGAUUCCGAAGUAAGUAAAUGAGUUCACUGAAAAAAAGUAAUUGUCACAAGAUUACGAAAAUUCAACGAAAUUUUUCAUUCUCAAAAAUAUCUACUUUUCAAAAUUCUGAAUUCUCGAAACAGCACAAUCUCGAAGUGAAUUUUUGAUAAAUUAUACAAGCUUCAUCAGCCCUUUUUAUCGUUCGUUUACCGGAAUUAGACUAUUUUAUUGAGAUUUGCAGCGUACGCUGAGCCUUCGAAAAGUAGAAAAAUAUAAUUUUUUAAUGCCAUAUAAAUGAAGGUGGAGCCUCGGGCCAAUAACAGGCCAGUUGAUCGCUACAUUAGUAUACGAUGAGCUCCGGAGUUCCGAGGCAAAAUAAUGUAGUACAGAAAAAGGGAUUAAAGACCGAAAUUUAGGGCGGAAAUUGACACAACGAUUUAUAUUACGAUUUUCCAUAAAACCAGGUAGCCGUUUAUCGUUUUUUUAAAAACCACUCAACGGGGAUAAGGAUAACGAUGAGGAAGAAGACGGCGAUGGAGAGAAGGACAAGAGCGGGUACAGAGAUGAGGACGAGGACAAGGACGGAGACGAAAACGAGGACAACGACUGGAACAAGAUCGAGAAGGAAUACGUUGACAAGGACGCGUGCGAGCGACAAUGAGACAACGUUCAAAUAAUAAAUCGUCCAGGAUACACGUUUUUAUUAACAAUUUCCACAUUGUUGUUGAAACGGUUACCGAUCUACGAUGCUUUUUAUUAUAAAUAAAAAGAUCUCCGGCUUGUGAAGUCCUAAAAUAAGCUCAUUAAAAUACUUUGCUUUUGUCGCAAAUCUUCCGAAAUCUUCGUACCCUAGAAACAACAUACAACGAAUUCGUCAAUUAUAUUUUUGUUUCCAUUAUUCCUGAAACAAUGUUUGCUCCAUUUGGGCCGCCCGAACAGCGCUCCAGCAACGUAUAAUUGACUAUUGGGAGCCUCUGUCUUGUAAUAUGGUCAUGGUCAUCUUGGCGAAUCACCUGAGGGGCCUCGCACGGUCCUUAUUGUUAAGCUUCACUCGUACCUGACUCAUCGUACAGUGGUUCUCACAGUUUCACUUGGGCCCAUUCGUGAGGAUUCUUCCAUCGUCUUGCCUGGCCCAAAAGUUGUUAGUUUCUCAAUUUAUAAAUACAUCCAGAUAUACCGAAUGCACUGAUAUUUCGAUUAUGAAUUUGAUGUUGGCUCAAGACGAGUCAGAGCUUCGUUAGUCCCAGUAUAAUUGCACGAGGCCUUGGCAAUUUGCUUCGACCCACGUGUCAAAAGUUUAAUUUCAUUUAUUUUUGUCUUUCUGGAGAGCCAACGACGUGUCGAGCAACGUGGGGGAUGAAAGGAGCUUGACUGCGUCGAUUUUCGUUGGCGGUUGAGCGCGUUGCCCUCUUCCCAUGCGUACAUUCGGAUGGGCAUUUG